GUGCUUUGGCAGCAUAUAUACUAAAAUUGGAACAAUAAUUAGCAUGGCCCCUACACAAGGAUGACACAUAAAUUCAUGAAGUGUUCCAUAUUUUU
rnacentral:snRNA from 1 species